rnacentral:lncRNA from 1 species
UUGUUUCCCCUUGUUACAUACCCAAUAUAAAGGAAGAAAAGAGAACAUUAGGGGUGCCUCUAAGCAAUCACCAAGAAAGAUACAUUCAUAAAAGAAUCAAUCAGCUUGACAUACUCAUGGUGUUCGUAUCAAUAAGGUUAUUUCAAAAUAAUUUGCCUCUGUAUAUCUUAGUUUAGACAAACAAGUAAUUUUGUAGAUAUACU